rnacentral:rRNA from 1 species
ACGGGGGCAGCAGUGGGGAAUAUUGGGCAAUGGAGGCAACUCUGACCCAGCAACGCCGCGUGAAGGAAGAAGGCCUUCGGGUUGUAAACUUUUGUUGUAGAGGACGAAGAAAGUGACUGUACUCUACGAGGAAGCCCCGGCUAACUAUGUGCCAGCAGCCGCGGUAAUACAUAGGGGGCAAGCGUUGUCCGGAAUCACUGGGCGUAAAGGGAGCGUAGGCGGGUAUUUAAGUUAAGUGUGAAAGCCCGGGGCUUAACUCCAGAAAUGCACUUAAUACUGGGUACCUAGAGUGUGGGAGAGGUAAGUGGAAUUCCUAGUGUAGCGGUAGAAUGCGUAGAGAUUAGGAGGAACACCAGAGGCGAAGGCGGCUUACUGGGCCACAACUGACGCUGAGGCUCGAAAGUGUGGGGAGCAAACAGGAUUAGAUACCCUGGUA